GACAGAGGGUGCAAACGUUGUUCGGAAUUACUGGGCGUAAAGCGCGCGUAGGCGGCCCGAUAAGUCCGCUGUAAAAGUCAACGGCUCAACUGUUGAAAGCCGGUGGAUACUGUCGGGCUAGAGUACGGAAGAGGCGAGUGGAAUUCCUGGUGUAGUAGUGAAAUGCGUAGAUAUCAGGAGGAACACCGGUGGCGAAGGCGGGUCUCUGGGCCGAUACUGACGCUGAGGAGCGAAAGCGUGGGGAGCGAACAGG
rnacentral:rRNA from 1 species